rnacentral:rRNA from 1 species
UACAGAGGGUGCGAGCGUUGUUCGGAAUCACUGGGCGUAAAGGGCGCGUAGGUGGUGGCUUAAGCGUGCGGUGAAAGCUCGGGGCUCAACCCCGAGUCGGCCGUGCGAACUGGGCUCACUGGAGCAUAGUAGAGGCAGGUGGAAUUCCGGGUGUAGCGGUGGAAUGCGUAGAGAUCCGGAAGAACACCGGUGGCGAAGGCGGCCUGCUGGGCAGUAGCUGACGCUGAUGCGCGACAGCGUGGGGAGCAAACAGG